rnacentral:rRNA from 1 species
CCUACGGGUGGCAGCAGUGAGGAAUAUUGGUCAAUGGACGCAAGUCUGAACCAGCCAUGCCGCGUGCAGGAAGACGGCUCUAUGAGUUGUAAACUUCUUUUAUAUGGGAAUAAAGUGAGGAACGUGUUCCUUUUUGUAUGUACCAUAUGAAUAAGCAUCGGCUAACUCCGUGCCAGCAGCCGCGGUAAUACGGAGGAUGCGAGCGUUAUCCGGAUUUAUUGGGUUUAAAGGGUGCGUAGGUGGUUAAUUAAGUCAGCGGUGAAAGUUUGUGGCUCAACCAUAAAAUUGCCGUUGAAACUGGUUGACUUGAGUAUAUUUGAGGUAGGCGGAAUGCGUGGUGUAGCGGUGAAAUGCAUAGAUAUCACGCAGAACUCCGAUUGCGAAGGCAGCUUACUAAACUAUAACUGACACUGAAGCACGAAAGCGUGGGGAUCAAACAGGAUUAGAUACCCUAGUAGUC